UGCAGUCGAGCGCUGAUUUGGAGGUAGCAAUAUUUUCAAGUCGGAGCGGCGCAGGGUGCGUAACACGUGGGAAUCUGCCUUGAAGUGUGGGAUAACUCGUCGAAAGACGAGCUAAUACCGCAUGUGAUCGUAAGAUCAAAGUUGGGGAUCGUAAGACCUGACGCUUUAAGAUGAGCCCGCGGCCUAUCAGCUAGUUGGUGAGGUAAAAGCUCACCAAGGCUAAGACGGGUAGCUGGUCUGAGAGGACGACCAGUCACACUGGAACUGAGACACGGUCCAGACACCUACGGGUGGCAGCAGUCGAGAAUUUUUCUCAAUGGGCGAAAGCCUGAAGGAGCGACGCCGCGUGGGGGAUGAAUGGCUUCGGCCCGUAAACCCCUGUCAUUUGUGAACAAGUUGUUCCGGCUAACAAGCGGAACAUUGAUAGUAGCAGAAGAGGAAGGGACGGCUAACUCUGUGCCAGCAGCCGCGGUAAUACAGAGGUCCCAAGCGUUGUUCGGAUUUACUGGGCGUAAAGGGUGCGUAGGCGGUCGGGUAAGUCUGACGUGAAAUCUCCGGGCCUAACCCGGAAACUGCGUUGGAUACUAUCCGGCUCGAGGAAUGGAGGGGAGACUGGAAUACUUGGUGUAGCAGUGAAAUGCGUAGAUAUCAAGUGGAACACCAGUGGCGAAGGCGAGUCUCUGGACAUUUCCUGACGCUGAGGCACGAAAGCCAGGGGAGCAAACGGGAUUAGAUACCCCGGUAGUCCUGGCCCUAAACGGUGCACGUUUGCUGUAAGCGGAUUCGACCCCGCUUGUGGCGUAAUUAACACGAUAAACGUGCCGCCUGGGAAGUACGGCCGCAAGGUUAAAACUCAAAGAAAUUGACGGGGGCCUGCACAAGCGGUGGAGUAUGUGGCUUAAUUCGAUGCAACGCGAAUAACCUUACCUGGCCUUGACAUGCAAAUAUUA
rnacentral:rRNA from 1 species